rnacentral:rRNA from 1 species
UACGGAGGGCGCAAGCGUUGUUCGGAAUCAUUGGGCGUAAAGCGCGAGUAGGCGGCUUGGCAAGUCGGAUGUGAAAUCCCGGGGCUCAACCCCGGAACUGCAUUCGAAACUGCCUCGCUAGAGUCCCGGAGAGGAGGGCGGAAUUCCCGGUGUAGAGGUGAAAUUCGUAGAUAACGGGAUGAACACCAGUGGCGAAGGCGGCCCUCUGGACGGUGACUGACGCUGAGAUGCGAAAGCGUGGGGAGCAAACAGG